CCCGGUGUUCAGCCACCGGUAGCCAAGGAGUGGUGCGGGAGAAGUAAUUCUCCGGUGCUAAGCUCUCCGUUAAUGUAGCCAUCCUCACGGAUACGAUUCUCCCGUGAGGGAGGACUCGUGACCUCGGUAGUCGUAACCGAGUAGG
rnacentral:ncRNA from 1 species